rnacentral:rRNA from 1 species
AGAGUUUGAUCAUGGCUCAGGACGAACGCUGGCGGCGUGCUUAACUACAUGCAAGUCGAACGAGAAUCUACAGAUCGAGGAUUCGUCCAAGUGAAGUAGAGGACAGUGGCGGACGGGUGAGUAACGCGUGAGGAACCUGCCUUUCAGAGGGGGACAACAGUUGGAAACGACUGCUAAUACCGCAUGACACAUUGGAGUCGCAUGGCUCUGAUGUCAAAGAUUUAUCGCUGAAAGAUGGCCUCGCGUCUGAUUAGCUAGUUGGUGAGGUAACGGCCCACCAAGGCAACGAUCAGUAGGGGUUCUGAGAGGAAGGUCCCCCACAUUGGAACUGAGACACGGUCCAAACUCCUACGAGAGGCAGCA